GACGAACGCUGGCGGCGCGCUUAACACAUGCAAGUCGAACGGAAAGGCCUGCUUUCCCUUGUGGAUUGCGGGUACUCGAGUGGCGAACGAGUGAGUAACACGUGAGUGAUCUGCCCCCAACUUGGGUAUAAGCCUGGGAAACUGGGUCUAAUUCCCGAUAGGACUGCAGGGUGGUGCCUGUGGUGGAAAACGAUUUUCUAGUGGUUGGGGAUGAGCUCGCGGCCUAUCAGCUUGUUGGUGGGGUAAUGGCCUACCAAGGCGGCGACGGGUAGCCGGCCUGGGAGGGUGGACGGCCACAUUGGGACUGAGAUACGGCCCAGACUCCUACGGGAGGCAGCAGUGGGGAAUAUUGCACAAUGGGCGGAAGCCUGAUGCAGCGACGCCGCGUGGGGGAUGACGGCCUUCGGGUUGUAAACUCCUUUCGACCGCGAGGAAGCCACCUGGUUGGAAGGGUGGUGACGGUAGUGGUAGAAGAAGCACCGGCUAACUACGUG
rnacentral:rRNA from 1 species